rnacentral:lncRNA from 1 species
UUGUCUGCCAAUUACUGUUGGUGUUUGCCCAACUCAUUAUUACUCUCCUCUUCUCCUAUUUCUUUGGCUAUAAAAGGUAGCCAUGACAUGAGGGAAAUAUACACCAAUUUGAGAGAACUCUCAUCCGAGAGUAGAGAGGAAAGAAAAGGGUGGGUGAAGAAAUCUCAUCCGGGGAUGAUGGAUGAAAGUAAUCCCAUCCAGGAGAGGAUGGAAGAGAGUUAGAAAAUAGAGAGAGAAAGAUAGUUCAAAUAAAA